CUUACACACUGCGUUUUGUCAAAAUGUCAACAACAAUUCUGUCUACGGAAAUGGACAAAACAUUUUCUUAAAUAAUGGAAGAUUCCAGGAAAAGAAAGCGAGAAGAUGGAAGUGAGCCGGAGAAGCGAGUCGUGAAGGAACCAGAGAUGUCAUGGUGGACCUGUUUAAUGCUAGGUGUGGCCCACGAGAAAAGCCGCCCAAAGGCCGUCCCCGUGAGGAGACAUGAUCCCGCCUCCAGUAAAGCUGUGCCACCUUCCUGAUCAUCA